ACGGGAGGCAGCAGUAGGGAAUAUUGCACAAUGGGGGAAACCCUGAUGCAGCAACGCCACGUGUGGGAAGACGCAUUUCGGUGUGUAAACCACUGUCGUGAGGGAAUAAGGACGCUUCUCGGAGCGUUUGAAUGUACCUCGAAAGGAAGCACCGGCAAACUUCGUGCCAGCAGCCGCGGUAAUACGAGGGGUGCAAGCGUUGUUCGGAAUCACUGGGCGUAAAGGGAGCGCAGGCGGAAGUGCAAGCGGUCUGUACAAUACCGGGGCCCAACCCCGGACCUGCAGACUGGACUGUUCCUCUUAGAUAGUUCAGGGGCUGGCGGAAUUCCUGGUGUAGCGGUGGAAUGCGUAGAGAUCAGGAAGAACACCGAUGGCGAAGGCAGCCAGCUGGGGACUCAUCGACGCUGAGGCUCGAAAGUGCGGGUAGCAAACAGGAUUAGAUACCCUGGUA
rnacentral:rRNA from 1 species